rnacentral:rRNA from 1 species
CUAUGGGUGGCUGCAGUGAGGAAUAUUGGUCAAUGGGCGCAAGCCUGAACCAGCCAUGCCGCGUGAAGGAUGAAGGCCUUAUGGGUUGUAAACUUCUUUUAUACGGGAAUAAACUUAGCUAUGCAUAGCUAACUGCAGGUACCGUAAGAAUAAGCACCGGCUAACUCCGUGCCAGCAGCCGCGGUAAUACGGAGGGUGCAAGCGUUAUCCGGAUUUAUUGGGUUUAAAGGGUCCGCAGGCGGACUAAUAAGUCAGUGGUGAAAUCUCUCGGCUCAACCGAGAAACUGCCAUUGAUACUGUUAGUCUAGAGUGUAGUUGGCGUAGGCGGAAUGUAUCAUGUAGCGGUGAAAUGCUUAGAUAUGAUACAGAACACCGAUCGCGAAGGCAGCUUACGAAACUACAACUGACGCUCAGGGACGAAAGCGUGGGAAGCGAACAGGAUUAGAUACCCCCGUAGUC